GGACAGAUCAACGUCGCCCGACUCAGCAACAGCUUUGCUAUAGGGGGAAUUUAAAACUGAGAUUCGAUUUGCCUGGGUUACAGAAAGGUAUACAGACAAGGAGGCAUAUACCUACACCUCUGAUGAAUAUAACAGGAAACCUGCUCGAUCACCAUUCGCUGCAAAAUCAUUCAGACUAUGGAUACGGAGAACAUCAACAUGCCAGAGGAUAUACCCAUUGGACUUGGGGCUCUGCUGGGAGUUUACCUCAUAUUUAGAUUUUUUUUAUUCUGCUUUGCUACUAAAAUCAUAACAAACACUGAGAACUAAAAUAUUGUGUUGUUAUUAGUAUGCAUAUUAUUAUGCAUAAUAAUAACUGGGCUGGUGGGGUAUUUAAAAAAUUACUCCAAAAUGUUCUUCAAAAGGUUCUUUGAGGAUCCAUUAUAAAGGGUUCUUUGAAGAAAAUAUUAAAGCUGCAUUAUGUA